AAACGCCCCCCAGUGUUGGUGUUGAUUUCCAUCGUUGAACGAGACAGUGUUAAAUGUACGCUGAUUAGCCACGCCCUCCAGCCCCUCCUCGUUUCCACAACCUGAAGAAUGUUCUGGAAGCCAUUUUCUGAAUGUCUAAGGACUGUGCAUUUGCCAAAUUCGGUGUCCCAGCUGUAAAUGAAGGUGUCAAAGUUGUUGACAGUUCAGGGACUGAGAUAGAUUAUGUUUUUUUAGGAAAUUGUGAAGGAGCCAGCCACAGGGGUGCUAACCAUCAAAUACAAAACAGAAUCUGACUCCAUGGUGACCUCUCAAAAGUCACAAUCAUCCGUUUGUUCAUCGGACUCAGACAAAAUCAUCCUUGAAGACACUCCUACCAGAAAGCGUCAGAGGCUGGACUCUGAAGCUAUGCAACUGGUAAAAUCCAUUCUUAGCAAGAAAUCGGGUGGAGAAAUAUAUAAUAAAUGAAUACAACCGAACUAAGUCCUUGACAGAACAGAGCAGAAGAAAAUUGGUGAAUAUACUGGCAGCUGAGAUGACAAAGAAUAAUUGGUAAGCUGUUUAUCGGUUUUGAUUGGCAGAUGUGUUCUUAUUUAGGUUUCAGAGUAAUCUAAAGUAAAUAAUAAACAUUUCACUUCAUCUUAUAAAACGUGUGUAUGACGAAUAAACGUGAAUAUGAUUUUUUUUUUUAAAGUACAUCUCCAUCAAGACAGGUGAAGGAAAUGUAUGCACAAGGAAUUGUGAACUUGUUCCCCAACCUCAGAGACCCAUUUUCCAAAAAUGGCUUUGUGGGUUACACACUCGUAAUUUUUGUCAUUGUCUUUAUUUUGAGUUUUCCCAAAGUAUGUUGUGACUAAUAGUGCCUAUUUUUGCAAUUCUCCUAAAGGAACAUUUUUAUGGAGAAUUAAAACUAUUCAGAGAUGCAGUGCUAAAGAAAGUCGAUCAUCAUUUGGAGCUUUGGUGGAAGGACCAUCUGAUGAAGACAAUCGGGAGGACCAACUGUUGGACGAGUUACCCAAUUCCAUCCAGAGAUUGUCCUGUCUUGGAAGCGAUGUCACUGAUGAAACAUUCGGCUGACGUGGACACGGUCAUCAAAAAGAUGAAGCUGACAUUUGCCCAUCGGCAUAACAUGGUCCUGGACCAACAGCAGUCAAGCAACAUUCUAUCUUAUUUUCCUCGUUUUAAAGACAUCAAUGGCUUGGUUGAACAGGAUUUUGUUCUAAUGUUUGGAGAGGAUUAAGCGUGCAAGUUUCUGGAGAAGUGGUCAACCACAUUCAAAAAGAAGAUCUUCCAACAAUGCAGAAAGCUUCCCUCCAUCUUUGAGCUUGAGGAACUCCUGAUGGCAGCUGACCCUCCUGAGGAUGGGGCUGAAGUGAAUGUUGACUUUGGUUGGGACAGCGACCUCUCAUCGAUUUUGCUGCUCUUACACUUGAUCGCACCGACUACUCUAGGUCGGAAGAGGCCAGGAGAAGUUUCUGCAUCCCGGGCUGAGAAGCAUCUUGUGGUCUUCAAAAAGACUGUAUAAAGCAUCCUAGAACAUCUUGACACCAUUAUUACCACCACUCAACCCUAUCUCCUGGCUGUUGGAGUGAGGAAGAAUACAAUCCACGAGUUCUUCAUAAUUCUCGACAAGAAUGCUGUACCUUGCAGGUCACACUCCUCUCUUGGUGCAUUUGAUGAACUGUUUAAAGCACACUUUGUGUUUGCGACAUCAUACCACACCAUGCUCCACAACAUGUACACAUUCAUGCCUUACUCCAAACCAUUUGAUGUUCAAAUGGCGUAUGGAACAUCAUGUUCCACAUUGUAUGUUGUCCCAUAUUGUCAUUUCAUGCACCUAAGGUCACCCUUUAUGUAUUCUGUCCCUAAAGUUGAUUGUCCUGCCUGACAAAUAAAGGUUAAACGUAUGAUAUUGUA